rnacentral:misc_RNA from 1 species
AUACCUUUCUAAUGGUAUCGUGUUGAUUGAUCGAAGUCCCUUUUCAUCUUGUGUUGCUUUUUGCRACGCAUGAUGAACAUCGAGGCGGUCUCUAUGUUCCACCACGUUGAUGCUAGCGUUUUGAUGUUGUGGCCCAUUGAGUGUUGCUUGGUUUCGUGGAUACAGAACAUGAUUUGGGCAUAGGGUUACUUGUGACUCUUGUUUUGUCCUUUAUCUGUGUUCUUUAUAACGACAGUUCAUGUGCGCCUAGGCUCGUACCUGCGUGAUGUUCUUUGUCGAAGAGGAAUGCUACCUGGUUGAUCCUGCCAGUAGUCAUAUGCUUGUCUCAAAGAUUAAGCCAUGCAUGUGUAAGU